rnacentral:rRNA from 1 species
CAGUCGCCGCGGGAAUACGUAGGGUGCAAGCGUUAAUCGGAAUUACUGGGCGUAAAGCGUGCGCAGGCGGUUCUAUAAGACAGAUGUGAAAUCCCCGGGCUCAACCUGGGAACUGCAUUUGUGACUGUAGAGCUGGAGUGCGGCAGAGGGGGAUGGAAUUCCGCGUGUAGCAGUGAAAUGCGUAGAUAUGCGGAGGAACACCGAUGGCGAAGGCAAUCCCCUGGGCCUGCACUGACGCUCAUGCACGAAAGCGUGGGGAGCAAACAGGAUUAGAUACCCCAGUAGUCCCUGUCUCUUAUAC